AGUGAACGCUGGCGGUAGACCUAACACAUGCAAGUCGAACGGCAGCACAGUAAGAGCUUGCUCUUACGGGUGGCGAGUGGCGGACGGGUGAGGAAUACAUCGGAAUCUACUUUUUCGUGGGGGAUAACGUAGGGAAACUUACGCUAAUACCGCAUACGACCUACGGGUGAAAGCAGGGGAUCUUCGGACCUUGCGCGAUUGAAUGAGCCGAUGUCGGAUUAGCUAGUUGGCGGGGUAAAGGCCCACCAAGGCGACGAUCCGUAGCUGGUCUGAGAGGAUGAUCAGCCACACUCGAACUGAGACACGGUCCAGACUCCUACGGGAGGCAGCAGUGGGGAAUAUUGGACAAUGGGCGCAAGCCUGAUCCAGCCAUACCGCGUGGGUGAAGAAGGCCUUCGGGUUGUAAAGCCCUUUUGUUGGGAAAGAAAAGCGGCAGGUUAAUACCCCGCUGUUCUGACGGUACCCAAAGAAUAAGCACCGGCUAACUUCGUG
rnacentral:rRNA from 1 species